rnacentral:lncRNA from 1 species
GUUUGAGUUAAAUAGUUAAAUGGAUAGACAGAAAAUAUUGAACUUCAUUCUUCUACCAACUUAUUUUCUGCGGAUGGAUCCGAAGUGGAGUGUUUCACCUUAACUUGAAUCUGAGCUAGAUGUAUCUUAAUCUAUGGGGAAAGAUAACAGCUAAAACCAUCUGAUCAAGGUCAGAAAAAAAAAAAAAAAAAAAGAAGAAGAAAGAAAGAAAAAAGAAGAAGGAAAGAAAGAAAAAAAAGUAAGAAAGUGGAAAUGAGUAUAUGUGGAGAAGAAAACAUGAGCCCUCCAAAAGUAAACCUGAAGUAAACACACAGCAACAUGAUCCAUAAACCAAAAGAAGACACCUCUGUAUGAUUAUGGAAGUUACCAGGAGACUGGGGAAAAUAAAAUACCCUGUAAUCAGAAGAUAUACAGAUUGGGACUGCCCAUUCCACCCUUCUGGAUGUGACAGAGCUGAGAUGAUUUUCCCCUCCUUUAGGCCUCUGUGUGGCCAAAGCUCAGUUCCUUGUAUCAGAUAAUGCUGGCACAUUGCUUCUGGCUUUGACAUGCUUCACAUCUGAGAGUGGAACUGCAGCCUGCAGGGAUUUGGAAUAUGUGCUAUUCCUCCUGGGAUAAGUAGCAACUACUGAAGGCUAUUGUACCUCAAAACUGAGCCUUUCACUUUUGAGAAUAAUGCUUCCACCACGGUCAAGGAGUCUAUUUAAAACUUUGUCUUGCAGAUUUGGAAAGAAAAAUCAUAUUUGAAAUUUGAUAGGAAAAAAAAUGCUGUUUUAUGAAAAUAAACCACUGUAUACAACUUCCUUCUCAUCCUUAAACUGUGUGCUUACGUACAAAUAAAUUUCACGUGAAAAGGAAAGGUCUGGGUCAUGAAGGCCAACUUUCAGAAGAUAAGCUGAAUCUUUUCUUCAUAAAAUGCCUUAUUCCUCAAAGUAUGUUUGCUGUCCUCAGUUCCACUCAGCGACCUGCUGACCAGUAGUGGCUCUGGAAUGACCUAGUUCCUCAGCUGUACUCAGGAACUGCUUGGGAGAUAAUGACGUGAGGCAUCAAGAGAAGUGAUUUUGAAAUGUGCCAGAUCCUAUUAUUCUGGAAAGCAAUGGAGGUUUGUCCACUUAUUUCAAGGAACUCGAGUCUUAUGUCUGUAGUUUUGAUUUUCAAACCGAUUGAUUUUUAAUUUUUCUCAAACUGCAUUGGAACAUGCAUUUCUCUCACUCAAAGAAAGGAUCAGAUCACAGCAUCAUUACUGUACAAGAUGACAUCUGGAUUUGUAAGUUCUGAUAUGUGCAUCGCAUAGAAUCAGAGAAUCACAGAAUUGUAGUAUCACAUACCAGAUGGUGAGAUCUAUCCAUAGGAUUUAUAAGUAUACUAGAUUUGGAGUUGCUUGAGCAAUAUCACAAACGUAGGUUGUUAUGGUUUUCCUUAUUGUUAAUACUAAAGUAUUCAGAACAAUAAGAUAAUGAAGUCUAUCUAAGUAUCAGCAUUUUGCUUCUGCUACUGGUCAUUUGAAAUAUAUUUCUGUAUUUGGUUACCAUAAAGGGAGCCCAUUACCAGUCAGGUUUUCCCAGCAUUUUCAGCCACUAUCAAGAGACAAUGGAGUAUCUACAGCUGACUUACUUAGUGGCAACAUAGAAGAUAGUAGUAGCAGGAAAAAAAAAAGAAAGAAAAUAAUACAUUUUUAUAUAUUCACCAAAAUUCUGAGACCUCAACGCAAUACAGGAAAAAGAAGAGAAAAAAAAAGGUAUUUGAAAUGCAAAUUUCAACAGCUCUGCUCGGUGCUACUUGAAAAUAUAUUACAAGCAUCAUACUAGAUUUAUCCGAAGAAGUAACUGUGAUCUUUUAAAAUUAGUGUUCUUCGUGACAUAUUCUGCUUGUUACACUUCCAUAGGUGGUUGGUUUUUUUUUAUUUGUUUUUUUUUCUUUUUUUCCAGCUGGUUUCUAUAGAAAAGGCUUCAUUAUGAUGUAACUAAAACCAAUAUUGAUCUAUGAGUUAAUAAUAACAAUAUAGAUUUUUGCCAUUAAAAGGAUAUUUUAUCACAUUGGGAAAAGAGUUUAUAUGAAGUUAUGUGCCCACAAGGAACUUCAGAAUAGCAAUGAAUGAAUCUGUAGAGAUUUUUUUUUUUUACAUGACUUUGUUAAGCCCUUAAAACAUUUAUAGAGAUUUUAAUGUUUUUGAGCUCAUUGUAAAAACACAAAACUUUGGCAAACUUUUUUCAAAAGUAUUGAGGAUACAGUAAAAAAUAUCCCAAAUAAGUGGACAUUCUUAUAAGAAUGACUGGGCUUUCAGCUGGUGACUAUCAGCCUUACUCCCCUGAAUUUGAUAAGCAUAUGCCGCCUGUCUGGUGUUGCAGGCCUUUACAGUGUGGAGUCUUCCACAAAAGCAUAAGCCUAGCUCUAAAUUAUGAACCAUUUUUUGAGUUGAUGAGAUAACGCUAAUAAGCAAUAGGUAAAGAUCUGGCAGACAAGAUGCAUGUGAGUCAUGAAUGUGAAAAAAAACCUAAACAAUAGAACUACUAGGUAUUAUCUGUCAUUUAAGACCAGUAUGUACUGACUAGCCCAUGGGUGUCCAAUGUUUUGGCUUGCCUGGGUUGCAUUAAGUGAAGAGGAAUAAUCUUGGUCAAUAUAUAUAAUAUAAAAUAUAGUUAAUUUAUAUAAGUAACAAAACUUAUUAUUUUAAUAUUUUAUUUUGUUAAAGCAUAACCAAAAGAGCAAUGGAAACAUAAGAGUAGUGAGAUAUUUGACCUUGUUUUUGUGAAACUGUGCAUCAGUCUGUUUUGAUGGAAGGGGUUGAAAAUCUUAGUGAGUUAUCAAGGUAUUUGCCAGAGAUUUUUUGAUUAAAUUUACCAAUACUUUAUCCAUAAAUAUAUGUGAACACAUAUGUACAUACUGCUGUCGUGUUUUUAUAAUUUUUUGUUAUUGGUAUUCCACAUCAUAACAUCAUGUAGUGUACUGGGAGUUAAAGAGUUAAUGCUCCAGUUCUGGGCACCUGUCCAGAAGAGAAGAACUACAUUCCCCAGAACACUUUGCAUUCAGAGAGGAGAUAUAACCCCUGCCAUAGUCACAACACCUUCCCUUUUUUGGCUCUCCUCCCUGCUGCUUGUCCUGACCGCGCACAUUGCCACAGCACUAGUGCAAGGCCUACAGCUUUUGGACACUCUUUCUCUCAUUAUAUUUGAUUUAUAUGCUUAAAUUCUAAUUAUAUUGUUUUAUAGUGUGUUAUCUUGCAUUCCGAUACCAUAUUUAGUAAAUUAGUUUGUUUCUCCUCAGAUCAUUUCCACUGUUAUUAAUUAUUCGGGGUCCCCUGUUUCCCCAUUCCAGAGGUGCAGAUCUGCGGAUCCCUCUGCAAUGAAAAGUGAAAAAACAGUGAGAAAAAGGGCUAAAAUGACCAUUUUGGGCUCUUGGUGGUUUAGGGGUGUUUUUAGGGUUUUUUUGUGCUCUUUUUGCUGUUUUUUUUUUGCCCCAGAUGAUCCCUCCUAACUGUGCUUAGGGUCACCUGGGUGCUUUAGUGAUCACUAGUCAAGAGACAGGGCCAAACCAUCCCAUAAAACAUUGACAGCUGCCAAGAAGCAAUGGUAUGAAUAAGAAGUGAUUGUGAAGUGAAAAAUAUUUUUAUCUGAUAAGGUAGGUUUGAUAAAGUGUAAUGAAGAGACAUAUUCUUUGAAUUGAAUAUCUGACUGCAGCUCUACACAUUCCCUUUGAAAAUCUACAGGUAAUUCAUUUAUAUCAACUGAAAAUGGAGUUGCAAAUUUACCAUGCAGCCCACGGGUUGGACACGACUGGACUAGCCUGUAUAUCAUUAUUGUUUGUGUGAUUAUCUCCUAACAAGAUUAGUGGAUACUCUUUACUGGAUAUUUCAAUCACUUUUUUGUUUUUAAGAAUGUUAACUAGUAUAUAGGAUUCCUAGCUACCGUAAAAGUCAUGAGUUGUUACAUGAUAAGCAAUUCUUGAUAACUGGCAUUUGAUUAAUGUGUUUGCAGAAAAAUCAGCGCCAAGUCCCCACUGUAGCUCCCUGAAGAAUGCUUACUGAAAGGUGAAUGGCUGAGACUGAGCAGUAGUUUGUGACACACAGUACCCAGUAUGAUUCUUUCUGAGGUGGGAGUUGAACAGCCCUUUUAGCUUUCCAGACCAGAGUCUCCAGUUUGCCUGAACUGUGCUUUGUUUUUGAGCUCAUUGUAAAGACUCAGAAGGGAAAACACGACAUUUCAGUUAUCCUUUUGCUCCUUCUUUCAGGACCUGCCAGGUGCCUGUUAAGUCUUUGCCAUGAAUCAUUUAUCCUUGAGCUUGUCUGUUUUAUGAGGCCAGCCCAUAGUUGCUGGGGCCACUGUAGUAUCAGGAGACUGGGAACUCCAAAGUGCAGCAGAGCUAAUGAUAUCUUCUUUUCAGCCACAUUCGUACUGGCAAAAUGGAUAUUUUAGAAGCUAUUGUGCUACUGUAAAAGCAAAGGGAUAUGGCUUUAAUGAGGGACUGGAAUGAAUCAGACUUGCUAAUCAGGUAUGCUGUCCAUGUUGCCAGUGCUGCUGCUUUAUGAUAGCAUAAACAGUGCUGAUAGCCAUUAUGUGUAUUUAACAGAGGUGUCUGGUUCUGUGCUACCAUUUUCUUUGCAGCAGAGCUAGAACUGUUUUCCAAUGAAUUGUAGAUCAUCUUCCCUUCCAAGGAGUCAGAACAGUUCAGAGAGUCAGUCGGGUGUGUGCAAACUUGACUUCAUUCACGGGAAACUAAACUGUAGGUUCUCUUCCCAAUAAGCACCAAAUGUUUUCCAGAAGUCACUGAAGACGCAGGAAUGCAACACAAUGACUUGUUCGCUACAGCACAAGGCCUCCUGCGCAUGCCAAGUGUCUUAGUUUCAGUUUUGAUGGAAUUGUUUUCUUCAGAGUGUCUGGUGUGCUGCUGCGUUUUUGGUUCUAGGAGAAAAACAGUGCUGAUAACUCACCGAUGUUUAUAGUUGCUGCUAAGCAAUGUUGUACAGAACCAAGUACAUUCACUGCAAGAAGCCCAAGGAGCUGGGAGGGACAUAAUUAGGACAGCUGACUUAAAUUGGCCAUAGGGAUAUUCCAUACCAUAUGACAUCAUGUGGAAGGUGUUUUGAAAGAAUGGGAGUUCAUCUCACUCUCUUCCACUGCUCAAGGGGCUAGCUAAACAUCAGUCGGCAGAUGGUGAGAAAUUGCUUGUGCAUCGUGUGUUACAUAUAUUCAUAUAUAUAUAUAUAUGUAUAUACCAUUUUCCUUUUCUCUAUCUUAUUAAAUAGUUUUAACUCACAAGUUCUACUUUGUUUUUUCCAAUUCUCUUCCCCACCCCACUUGGAGGGUGGGAGUGAGUGAACAACUGUCUGGUGCUCAGCCACCUUCCAGGUUAAACCACAACACCAAGCAUGCCUGUGCCAUUUGAAUAUUUAGAAACCAACAGGAGGUCAUGAAAUGUUCAGAAGAGCUCUUUUAUUGUAUGACAAUCCAUUAGAUUUGUAUGCCUUUAUAUUUACCGUUGAUUAUACAGCCAUCUCUUCAUUCAAGAUCCUUUCUCUUCUUUAACUGCUUUAUCUUUGGUUGUUUUCUACCCUUUCUGUUUUUGUAUUCUAUGACUCUUGAAGAAUUAUACCUCUUUUCUUCCUGUAGAAAUGGCAAUAUACCACCCUUUAUUCUCACAGAAGUUCCAGAAAGGUGCAUCAGACAUCAAUCUGUGCCCCCAAAGGCCAGAACUUUCACUGAAGUCAGGAUAGAACUUCAUUAUCAGCAACUGAAGAAAUCCACUAACCUCAUGACUGCAAUCACAUACACAAUGACCAUAUUAAAAUCAAGAAGAUUAAGUCCCUUUUAUUGAAGACACAGGACAAUAAGUUUCAUUUGGAGGUGUGCCCCUACUACAGAGUCUUCAUAAAUAUGGUCUGGUGAGAACACCGGACUGAGCCAGUCGCUAUUUUGGAGGCUACACCAUGUGUCUUGUAUUCAUUAUAAGCGACACCCUGAUAGGCAACACUUCCCUUGGAGCUAAUUCAGGUCCUAACUCAUGAGCACCACAGAAGACAUCUGCAAAGGACUAUCUGAGGACUCUAUCAUGGUCUGCAUCAGGAACACCCUCUGCUUCAGAUACCAACCAGGG